rnacentral:rRNA from 1 species
AAGGGCUAAGCCAUGCAUGUCUCAGCGCAAACGGAACAACAGUGGGUCUGUGAAUGGCUCCUUACAUCAGCAGUCAUCCAGGUGACAAAGUGUGUGGUUGGCACCACCUGUCACGAGCAGGCCAGGUGCCCAGUUGGACAUCCACGAAAACCUUGUGGCUAAUACACGUCUGCCGAAGUCGGCUGUGUUCACACAGGCCCUCUCAGCGAUUGGCUGACACCUGCGCAGUCGGUUGCUACCAGCCGGUCGAAAGACCAGGCACCCCGAGAGAGGGUAGCGUGUCCACGGUUGAUUCAGGCUGGUCCAUCUCUGGAAAGGACACACCAGCGCUGGCUGUGAUAUGUUGGUGGCCUCGUGCCACGAUAAGCUUGGUCACAGGAACUUCUGACCUAUCAGCUCGGAUUGUGGUGUAGUGGACCACAAUGGCUUUGACGGGUAACGGAGAAUCAGGGUUCGAUUCCGGAGAGGGAGCCUGAGAGACGGCUACCACUACCAAGGUGGGCAGCAGGCGCGCAAAUUGCCCAAUACAAAAUCAGUCUGUGAGGCAGCGAAGAACUGUAGCAAUCCCGCUGGAUCAUCAUCCAGUGGGACUUGGAAUGGAUGCAAUCCAAACACAGUGAUGAGUAUCAACUGGAGGGCAAGUCUGGUGCCAGCAGCUGCGGUAAUUCCAGCUCCAAGGGCGUAUACUAUCAUUGCUGCUGUUAAAACACCUGUAGUCUGCCCCUGGGUCGCAGGGCUGCCGAGNGGCCUGCUCGGGUGUGUGCGGGUCCUGUCGCCGGUCUAUCCCUCGGGAUGGGCCGUGUGGGAGGUCCGUCGUGCCUGGGUGGGGUAAAACCCUCGGCAGCAUGUCCUGUGCCCCCUUCUCGAUGACGGUGUGACUCGCUCCUGCCCAAAGCCCUCUUCACUGAGGGCCNAAAGGUGGUUGUGCCUUGGAAGCAGGCGUGGACCUAUCCCUGGCCACNUUUCCCCCCUUUUGGGCNUGCAAGCACUAGCCAGUGUCCACCACCGGAGCCGACUGUUCACCCACACCCCUGGAAAACUCAGUGGUUGCUCAAAGUGUGGCGGGGGCCAGGUGGUGGUGUAUGGCGCGUGGGGCUGGUUCCCCUCGGGGUUCCUUCCCGNGUCGUCCUCUGCACCGCGCCUACUACCCCCCUACCGCACCCGGGCUUCUGAGUAUGUAUCAAGCGAAUCUGAUGGGACCGUUCGGGGUGAAAGGAACUGCAGCGCCAGAGGUGAAAUUCUUAGAUCGCUGCAAGACCCANUGCAGNGAAGGCGUUAUGCAAGGACGUGUUNGUCGAUCAAGGAUGAGAGUNUGGGGAGCGAAGAUGAUCAGACACCGUCGUAGUCCAGCACUGUAAACGAUGCCAGCAAGGCUUCGGCUGGGAAAGUCCAACAGACCCAGCCGGCAGCCAUGCCCCCUACACCGAGAAAUCCACAGCCUGUGGGUUCAGGGGGGAGUACCGUCUGCAAGGCUGAAACUUAAAGGAAUUGACGGAAUGGCGACCACAAGGUGUGGAGUAUGCGGCUUAAUUUGACUCAACACGGGGAACGUUACCAGGUCAGGACACAGCCGGGAUGGACAGAUUGAGAGCUCUUUCUUGAUCCUGUGGACGGUGGUGCAUGGCCGGC